rnacentral:rRNA from 1 species
GUGCAGCAGGCGAGAAUUUUUCUCAAUGGGCGCAAGCCUGAAGGAGCGACGCCGCGUGGGGGAUGAAGGGCUUCGAUCCGUAAACCCCUGUCAUUUGCGAACAAACCCUGAGGUUUAAGAGAUAUCAGGCUGAUUGUAGCGAAAGAGGAAGGGACGGCUAACUCUGUGCCAGCAGCCGCGGUAAUACAGAGGUCCCAAGCGUUGUUCGGAUUCACUAGGCGUAAAGGGUGCGUAGGUGGCUUGGUAAGUUCGAUGUGAAAUCUCCGGGCUUAACCCGGAAAUGGCAUUGAAUACUAUUGGGCUGGAGGUUUGGAGGGGGGACUGGAAUUCUCGGUGUAGCAGUGAAAUGCGUAGAUAUCGAGAGGAACACCAGUGGCGAAGGCGAGUCCCUGGACAACACCUGACACUGAGGCACGAAAGCUAGGGGAGCAAACAGGAUUAGAUACCCCCGUAGU